GACGAACGCUGGCGGCGUGCUUAACACAUGCAAGUCGAACGGAAAGGCCCUGCUUGCAGGGUACUCGAGUGGCAAACGGGUGAGUAACACGUGGGUGAUCUGCCCUGCACUUCGGGAUAAGCCUGGGAAACUGGGUCUAAUACCGGAUAGGAGCCAUUUUUAGUGUGAUGGUUGGAAAGUUUUUUCGGUGUAGGAUGAGCUCGCGGCCUAUCAGCUUGUUGGUGGGGUAAUGGCCUACCAAGGCGGCGACGGGUAGCCGGCCUGAGAGGGUGGACGGCCACAUUGGGACUGAGAUACGGCCCAGACUCCUACGGGAGGCAGCAGUGGGGAAUAUUGCACAAUGGGCGCAAGCCUGAUGCAGCGACGCCGCGUGGGGGAUGACGGCCUUCGGGUUGUAAACUCCUUUCGCUAGGGACGAAGCUUUUUGUGACGGUACCUAGAUAAGAAGCACCGGCUAACUACAUG
rnacentral:rRNA from 1 species